rnacentral:rRNA from 1 species
UACGUAGGGGGCAAGCGUUGUCCGGAAUUAUUGGGCGUACAGGGCGCGUAGGCGGCCCUCUAAGUCAGACGUGAAAUCCCUCGGCUCAACCGGGGAACUGCGUCUGAUACUGGAGGGCUUGAAUCCGGGAGAGGGAUGUGGAAUUCCAGGUGUAGCGGUGAAAUGCGUAGAUAUCUGGAGGAACACCGGUGGCGAAGGCGGCAUCCUGGACCAAUUCUGACGCUGAGGAGCGAAAGCCAGGGGAGCAAACGGG